CACCAGUUAUUUACAUCUACGAUGUUUUCAUAUUAAUUUUGAAGUAUAAAAUCUAUUGUUUUUAUCUGUAGGUACAUAUAUAGUAUGGUAUGAAUAAUAAACAAUAGAGAGUGAGAACAAAGCAGUAUAGUGUUAAAGCUUUAGAAUUUGUAGAAAGAGAAGAUGAUGUACAACACUUUAUAUGACUAUGUAUGCUAUGAAAUUUCCAUCUUCAAACUCUCUCAUCUCAUUAUAAUAUGCAAUUUUUUUCUUACAACCCUCUUCUUAUCCCGAUCCUCGAUCAAUAUGCAUUUCUUAUGAAUUGAAUUGUUUGGUAAAUUUUUCAUAUGAGAACACAUCAUGGUUUAUACAACAAUUGCUCCUCGGAACAAAGUGCAAGAAAUUAUUAUCAACAUUAUGGAAAUUGUAAGUGGCAACAAUAUUCGAAAUCGAAACAAAGAGCUUCCAUCUUCGAAUCAAUUGGAGUACCUAAUUGACGAAUGGGGGAGGAGGAAGAGAAGAAGAAUCGGCGAUGGAGUUCUUCGAUCAAACCGCCGAGCUCUUUUUUCGAAGGAAUGGAAAGAGGAGAAACGAGAAAUGGACAAGCCGGAGCUAGAGAUAAAUGCAAAAGACGUUGGAGAAUACGCCGGAGAUUGCCACCAUUUGGUUUUCUGCAUCUCUUUUAUGGUAUUUUUUUCGGUCAUUUCUCCUUAGAAUUAAUUGCAGGAGAAAAUCAUAUGAUGGGCAUGUGCCAAUAUUUGAGAACAGUUCCCAUUUUAACCUUCAUGCGUUAAAUCAAAAGUAAAAUGUACACUUUUUUUUUAAUUAGAAAUUGCAAAUUCAUCCUUGACUGCUCCAUUAUUACUAAUUCUCUCCAAGUUCUCUCUCUAUCUCUUGCCUGGUCGUUCUAUCGCCGCCGUAACUAACUAACGAUGCUGUCAUCUGAAGCCUAGAUUUUGGCUGGGAAAGACGCUGGUGGUUUGGAGGAGGAGAAUUCAAGGAAUCUGUUCUUGAGGGUUACAAUUUUGGUUUUGUCAGAGGUGUUUCCAGUGCGCUGGCCUUACUCCCUGAGGAGGUAAAAGAGAAUCUGAUUGAUGAAGAGGAAGCGAGAGACAAGUUUCAGAAAUUACAUAAUUCCAUUGCAUGCUCUCUCAACAGAUAACGCAAUCAAGUUGCUCUAUGAAGUAAAGGAAGGGGAGUUGGAGAAGAGGGGCGUGACUCUGUCUUGGGGACCUUAAUUUGUUUCUGAGCUAACUUCUCUUCUUGAAAAAUCUUCUAAGAUUGAACUUGAAGUGAGCUGCAAGGAUUUGCGGAAAAGUUAAGGAUGCUUGUGAUUUGCUUUCUUCUGUUGUUCGUCCAGUCUUACUUGUAGUUGAACCUUGUCAUUGACCAUAUAUGCAUAUAAUCUUCUGUCAGUUCAUUGUACAUUAUAUCUUGUUGGGUUCUGUCAAGUUGAUCCAUAUCUGGAUUUUCAUGUCAUUUUCUAUUUUGAAAGAAAUGUACUAGGAAGAGGUGUUGUUUUCACACGUUGGACAAAUGUUUUGUUGCUUCU